rnacentral:rRNA from 1 species
CCUACGGGUGGCAGCAGUAGGGAAUUUUCGUCAAUGGGCGCAAGCCUGAACGAGCAAUGCCGCGUGAACGAGGAAGGUCCUCGGAUCGUAAAGUUCUGUUGAAGGGGAAGAGAGCGGAGAGCGGAAAUGGUCUCCGAUUGAUAUUAACCUUCGCGGAAGUCACGGCUAACUACGUGCCAGCCGCCGCGGUAAUACGUAGGUGGCGAGCGUUAUCCGGUAUGAUUGGGCGUAAAGGGUGCGUAGGCGGCCUGCUAAGUCUGGAGUGAAAGGUACGGGUUCAACCGGGACAGGCACUGGAAACUGGCGGGCUAGAGAGCAGGAGAGGGGGGUGGAACUCCAGGUGUAGCGGUAAAAUGCGUAGAUAUAUGGAAGAACACCAGUGGCGAAGGCGGCCGCCUGGCCUGUUACUGACGCUGAGGUACGAAAGCGUGGGUAGCAAAUAGGAUUAGAUACCCCUGUAGUC